rnacentral:rRNA from 1 species
GACGUAGGGGACGAGCGUUGUCCGGAUUCAUUGGGCGUAAAGAGCUCGUAGGCGGCUCAUUGCGUCAACCGUGAAAACCAGCAGCUCAACUGUUGGCUUGCGGUUGAUACGGGUGGGCUGGAGUUCGGUAGGGGAGACUGGAAUUCCUGGUGUAGCGGUGAAAUGCGCAGAUAUCAGGAGGAACACCGGUGGCGAAGGCGGGUCUCUGGGCCGAUACUGACGCUGAGGAGCGAAAGCGUGGGGAGCGAACAGG